GGGGUCGUUAAGGAUUCGACGGGUAUAGGUCGAGCUUGGAUUGCGUUUCGUGCGGCGGCACGUUAAAACGCCCAGUUUAAAUUAUAACUGCAAAAAAUAAUAACAAUUCUUACGCCUUAGCUGCCUAAUAAGCGCUUAGCGUAGAUCCUCCCAAUCUCGCCCAUGGGUUGGAUCUGGGUCUUAAAAUUAGUGGGCUCACGCAGUUGGCUCCCACCUGAAGUCAACUGAAGAGAUUAAUCAGGUUAGCCAUUUAUGGGUGCCUUGAUUUGCGGCGUUUUAAAUGGUGAAUUCCAAGUAGUAAAUCUAUGAACGUAGAUAUCUGAGUGGCGAUAUGCUCGGACGCGGGUUCGACUCCCGCCGACUCCAUUG
rnacentral:tmRNA from 1 species